rnacentral:rRNA from 1 species
CAAUGAUGCAUAGCCGAGUUGAGAGACUGAUCGGCCACAUUGGGACUGAGACACGGCCCAAACUCCUACGGGAGGCUGCAGUAGGGAAUCUUCCACAAUGGGCGAAAGCCUGAUGGAGCAACGCCGCGUGUGUGAUGAAGGCUUUCGGGUCGUAAAGCACUGUUGUAUGGGAAGAAAAGUUAAGGUAGGGAAUGACCUUAGCCUGACGGUACCAUACCAGAAAGGGACGGCUAAAUACGUGCCAGCAGCCGCGGUAAUACGUAUGUCCCGAGCGUUAUCCGGAUUUAUUGGGCGUAAAGCGAGCGCAGACGGUUGGUUAAGUCUGAUGUGAAAGCCCGGAGCUCAACUCCGGAAAGGCAUUGGAAACUGGUUAACUUGAGUGCAGUAGAGGUAAGUGGAACUCCAUGUGUAGCGGUGGAAUGCGUAGAUAUAUGGAAGAACACCAGCGGCGAAGGCGGCUUACUGGACUGUAACUGACGUUGAGGCUCGAAAGUGUGGGUAGCAAACAGGAUUAGAUACCCUGGUAGUCCACACCGUAAACGAUGAACACUAGGUGUUAGGAGGUUUCCGCCUCUUAGUGCCGAAGCUAACGCAUUAAGUGUUCCGCCUGGGGAGUACGACCGCAAGGUUGAAACUCAAAGGAAUUGACGGGGACCCGCACAAGCGGUGGAGCAUGUGGUUUAAUUCGAAGCAACGCGAAGAACCUUACCAGGUCUUGACAUCCUUUGAAGCUUUUAGAAAUAGAAGUGUUCUCUUCGGAGACAAAGUGACAGGUGGUGCAUGGUCGUCGUCAGCUCGUGUCGUGAGAUGUUGGGUUAAGUCCCGCAACGAGCGCAACCCUUAUUGUUAGUUGCCAGCAUUCAGAUGGGCACUCUAGCGAGACUGCCGGUGACAAACCGGAGGAAGGCGGGGACGACGUCAGAUCAUCAUGCCCCUUAUGACCUGGGCUACACACGUGCUACAAUGGCGUAUACAACGAGUUGCCAACCUGCGAAGGUGAGCUAAUCUCUUAAAGUACGUCUCAGUUCGGACUGCAGUCUGCAACUCGACUGCACGAAGUCGGAAUCGCUAGUAAUCGCGGAUCAGCACGCCGCGGUGAAUACGUUCCCGGGUCUUGUACACACCGCCCGUCACACCAUGGAAGUUUGUAAUGCCCAAAGCCGGUGGCCUAACCGUAAGGAGGGAACCGUCUAAGGC